AUCUCCUUAUUGCCAGCUCCACUUUUGUCAUUACUU
rnacentral:sRNA from 1 species